rnacentral:rRNA from 1 species
GUAAGGAAUAUUGCUCAAUGGGAGAAAUCCUGAAGCAGCAACGCCGCGUGGAGGAUGAAGGGUCUAUGACUUGUAAACUCCUGUAAAGAAGGAAAAAAUUCCCAUUUGAUGGGAGAUGAUGGUACUUCUGGAGUAAGCCCCGGCUAACUACGUGCCAGCAGCCGCGGUAAUACGUAGGGGGCAAGCGUUGUCCGGAUUUACUGGGUGUAAAGGGUGCUCAGGCGGAUUUGUAAGUCAGAGGUGAAAUCUUACAGCUUAACUGUGAAACUGCCUUUGAUACUGCAAGCCUAGAGUAUGGAAGAGAGUGAUGGAAUAUCUGGUGUAGCAGUGAAAUGCGUAGAUAUCAGAUAAAACACCAAUGGCGAAGGCAGUCACUUGGUCCAUUACUGACGCUAAAGCACGAAAGCGUGGGUAGCAAACA